rnacentral:rRNA from 1 species
UACGAAGGGGGCUAGCGUUGCUCGGAAUCACUGGGCGUAAAGGGUGCGUAGGCGGGGCUUUAAGUCCGGGGUGAAAUCCUGGAGCUCAACUCCAGAACUGCCUUUGAUACUGAGAAGCUUGAGUCCGGGAGAGGUGAGUGGAACUGCGAGUGUAGAGGUGAAAUUCGUAGAUAUUCGCAAGAACACCAGUGGCGAAGGCGGCUCACUGGCCCGGUACUGACGCUGAGGUGCGAAAGCGUGGGGAGCAAACAGG